CCUGACAGAGCCUGACAUAACAGAGAGGACCUACAUUGCCUUUACUGUUAAGUUCAUUACAGGAGCUAUGGUAGCUGCUGAACUAGUGCUGAUUAGGUUUGUUUGGGACCAACAGCUUCUUAAUAGCAGAAAACUCUGAAUUAGCUGACCAAAUAUUCGUCUGAAGUUUCUAUAAAAUUCUGCUUAAAGACAGUUUAGUGAAGUUGAAACCAUGACUUGAAGGACCAAGUAGCAAUUCUUGCUGGUAAUCUCAGAAGUGAUCCACAGGCAAGGUUUAUUUCUUCAAGCAAUAUUUCCAUGGAGAUACUGGCGUCCUUAACUAUUGAAUUGUAAAUUCAACGUGAGCAGCAAUAACGGAUGCAUAAACCCAACUUAUUCCUAAAGUAA